ACCUGGGUGGCUCAGUCGGUUGGGCACCUGACUUCAGAUCAUGAUCUCAUGGCUCGUGGGUUCGAGCCCCACGUCCGGCU
rnacentral:tRNA from 1 species